GAUGAACGCUGGCGGCGUGCCUAAUACAUGCAAGUCGAGCGAACGGACGAGAAGCUUGCUUCUCUGAUGUUAGCGGCGGACGGGUGAGUAACACGUGGAUAACCUACCUAUAAGACUGGGAUAACUUCGGGAAACCGGAGCUAAUACCGGAGAAUAUUUUGAACCGCAUGGUUCAAAAGUGAAAGACGGUCUUGCUGUCACUUAUAGAUGGAUCCGCGCUGCAUUAGCUAGUUGGUAAGGUAACGGCUUACCAAGGCAACGAUGCAUAGCCGACCUGAGAGGGUGAUCGGCCACACGGGAACUGAGACACGGUCCAGACUCCUACGGGAGGCAGCAGUAGGGAAUCUUCCGCAAUGGGCGAAAGCCUGACGGAGCAACGCCGCGUGAGUGAUGAAGGUCUUCGGAUCGUAAAACUCUGUUAUUAGGGAAGAACAUAUGUGUAAGUAACUGUGCACAUCUUGACGGUACCUAAUCAGAAAGCCACGGCUAACUACGUG
rnacentral:rRNA from 1 species